UCAAGGGCAAAGAAAAAUCCCUUUGGUUCCAGAAAAUCUCCUGAAAAAGGUGAAGGCUUAUCAAGCCCUCAAAGCCACCCAGGCAAAGCAGGCACUUUUGGCAAAGAAGGAGCAAAGGAAAAGAGCUCAGGUUUAAGCGACUGGAAUCAUUCCAACAUGAUUCCUGGUGGCAGAAACAUGACAAGCUGCUUCUCAGACAACUAGAAGUGAAACCUCAUGCCUUGGAAUUGCCAGAUGAACAUUCCUUGGCCUUUGUUGUGUGCAUCAAAAGGAUUGAUGGUGUGAGUUUACUGGGGCAGAGAACCAUUGCAAGACUUCGCCUAAAGAAAAUUUUUAAUGGUGUCUUUGUAAAAGCCACCCCCAAGAACCUAAAAAUGCUGCGUAUAGUGGAACCUUAUGUGACCUAGGGAUUUCCAAAUCUGAAGUCUGUCCAGGAAUUUUGAAUUUUGAAACGUGGACAAGCCAAGGUCAAGAAUAAGACCAUCUCUCUGACAGAAAACACAGUGAUUGAGGAGCACCUGGGGAAGUUUGGUGUCAUUUGCUUGGAAGACCUCAUUCAUGAAACUGCCUUCCCAGGGAAGCAUUUCCAGGAGAGCUCAUGGUUCUUGUGCCCUUUCCACCACUCAGUGGCCCGUCAUGCUACCAAAAAUAGAGUGGGCUUCCUCAAGGAGAUGGGCACAGCUGGCUAUCAGGGUGAAUGCAUCAAUCAGCUCAUCCGCCAGCU
rnacentral:lncRNA from 1 species